CAAUAGCGUAUAUUAAAGUUGUUGCGGUUAAAAAGCUCGUAGUUGGAUUUCUGCCGAGGACGACCGGUCCGCCCUCUGGGUGAGCAUCUGGCUCGGCCUGGGCAUCUUCUUGGAGAACGUAUCUGCGCUUGAUUGCGUGGUACGGGGUUCGUGACUUUACUUUGAGGAAAUUAGAGUGUUCACGGCAGGCAUACGCCUUGAAUAUAUUAGCAUGGAAUAAUACUAUAGGAUUUCGGUUCUAUUUUGUUGGUUUCUAGAGCUGAGAUAAUGAUUAAUAGGGACAAUUGGGGGCAUUCGUAUUGACGAGUCAGAGGUGAAAUUCUUGGAUUUCGUCACGACGAACUACUGCGAAAGCAUUUGCCAAGGAUGUUUUCAUUGAUCAAGAACGAAAGUAAGGGGAUCGAAGAUGAUCAGAUACC
rnacentral:rRNA from 1 species